GUUUCUGUUAGCGAAUCAAGUUCAAGCUCCUCACAUAUCAUCAUCCAGGGUACAGUCAUAUGCUCAUGAGGAGAUCCCACGCAGGUGAAGGUGCUGCCCACCCAUGAUACCAGCAAGGUGCGUGCAAGUGGAUCCGGCCUUAACACCACUGGAGCGCCCACCUCUCUGCCAGUGAAGGUCACCAUUGAUGCCAAAGAUGCAGGACCCAGAGGGGAAGCCCAAGAAGCAGAUAUCUGUGACAGCCAUGAUGGGACCUACCUGGUGUUUUAUGUGCCAGACAUGACUGACAGAUACACCACUCUCAUUAAGUACGGAGGAGACAAGAUCCCUUAUUCACCCUACUGAAUCAGGGCUCUGCCCACCGGAGAUGCCAGCAAGUGCACUGUCACUGAAUGUUGUCCAGUGGCCAGCUGCUCGGUCCAUCCAGACUCCCCUCGAUAUACAACAGUGAUGCCAGCAACUCAAAUACAAGCUCUCUCCAAGUGAUUCCUUCAUCAUCAACAUCUGCAUCCAUGAUCCAUUAGCUCAACAGCAACAUCUGUCAGCUGUGCAUCCAACUCGGGGGAAUCGCCUGCUGUGCUCAGCCAGUGGGCCGCAAUUUCUGUGCCUUGUUGAUGGCCUCGCUGUAUCCUGUGCUGGAGAAAGCUGGUGAGGAGACACUGCUGGUGAGCCAGGCGGCGCUGAGCUCCAUGUAGGACAUCAGUAAGGCCUGUGGAUACACUUCCCUCAAGGAACUGAUCAAUGAGAACUCUGACUACCUGCUUAAUGACAUAUCACUCAACCUUCAGAGGCUCAGCCAGCAUCCACAGGUAGUUAUGAGGUGUUUUUGUUUUUAGCCCAGAAUGGACACAGAAAUGAGUGCUGGAGGGUUUACCCGAUUUCCUUCUUUGUCUGCUUAAGCCUGUGCGUCCCUUUCAGUAAGUGAUUUGAAUCCACCUGACAUUCAGAAGGUCGUGGUAGAGCAUAUCGUACGAAGGCAAGAUGUCAAACACAUCCAGUCCCAGGUUAGACUCCGUACCUUCUCCGGUAAGGUUCCCAGACCUAACAACAAAACUGAUUAUGACACGUGGCGCACACAAAUUAACCUGCUCCAAAAUGACCCCAGCAUGUCCCCGCUGCAAAUAUCCAGAAAGAUCCAUGAGAGCCUGCUCCCACCAGCAGCUGAUAUAGUUAAAAUGUGUGACUCACAGGUGCUAUAGCGUACGGCCACAGCUUCACUCUGAGCUCCAUCUCCAUAGAGUGCAGACAGUGAUAUCUGAUACUCCUUAAGACACAGGACAACAGUUUAUUGAGAUAUUGUAUUUUUUAUUUCAUAAUAUGUACUCCAACAACUCAAUAGUUCUUCCCCACCUGCCUCAGGUCGCCUCCACUUAGGGAGAUCCACUUAAUGAGGUAAGAAACAUCAUCAUCAUCUGCAGCUUCCCAGCGCACCGUGAUGUCACUGUCUGAGAAAUUAGUUAUCCUAAGGUCUGAAGGAGGAGGCACCUUCACUAGAAGAAAAGAAUAAUGUGUAUGGGAAUUUUUAAAAAUGGGAAAGCUACAUCUUUAUAUCUUUCAUUAUUAAUAACAUUUACAGUACUGUGCAAAAGUCAUGAGCCACACGCUAAAGUAUUUCAUUGGACAUUAUCUGUUUUUUCCAAUCCUUUUUAAUCCAGUUCUUGUACCUGACCAUUUUCUGAGUAAUGUUUUUUGUUUGUUUGUUUGUGUAAACACUUGUUUGUUUGUUUGUUUGUGUAAACACUUUGCACUGACCAUUAUUGGAGAAUUAAAAAGCACCUAAUUCAAGGAAUAUGUGUACACAUAACAGAAAACUUGGGAAAGAACCAAUUUGAAAUCUUUAAGCACUUUGUUACUAGCGGCCUGUCAC